rfam:Flavobacterium sp. FPG59 Contig_93, whole genome shotgun sequence.
GUAUAGCCCUGACAGUAGCGUAAAGCCUAUGCAGGUUGAAAACCACUUUUUAUGGCGCUGGCAGAGCGACCGCAGGAAGCUCCUGAAAGUGCCUAGAAAAAGGGUUUGAAACCAAAUAGCUUGCAGCGUAUGGCGGGAAUAGCU